rnacentral:lncRNA from 1 species
ACUGGAGAUGGGUCUUUAUAGCAGUCGGAGCGAUGGUGAGGUGCAUAACGUGGCUGGAAUUGUGCUUAUUGCUAGCUCGGGGCAUUCCCAGAAAGGCCCCACGUGAAGCUCCAUUGCCAUGGCUCCUCUCUCACCCACUAGCGCCCAGCCUCAGGGGCGAGGGAGGAGCACGGCUAUUGCUGCUGCUUCCACUGCUUUCACAAAAGCAGCCUUUUCCCCCGAAGAUACAAUUACUACAUGUGCUUUAUAGAAAUCUUGGGGGGGGGGUUCAAAAAGUAUAAAAAAAUAAAGUAAAAAUCACUUCCACCCAAGACAUAACCACGAUGUGGAUAUUUAUUUGCUUUUCACCCCAGAUGCUGCUGCGUGCUGACCCUGCUUCCUCUGACGGGGCAGGUGACUUAAGACCGUCCCCUGCCAGGAGCACCA